GCCCCUGUAGUUCAAAGGAUAGAACGGCGGAUUCCUAAUCCGUAAAUGGAGGUUCGAUUCCUCCCAGGGGCACCA
rnacentral:tRNA from 1 species